AGAGUUUGAUCCUGGCUCAGAUUGAACGCUGGCGGCAGGCUUAACACAUGCAAGUCGAGCGGAAACGAUGGGAGCUUGCUCCCAGGCGUCGAGCGGCGGACGGGUGAGUAACGCGUAGGAAUCUACCCAGUAGAGGGGGAUAGCCCGGGGAAACCCGGAUUAAUACCGCAUACGCCCUAAGGGGGAAAGGCCGGGAUCUUCGGACCGGUCACUAUUGGAUGAGCCUGCGUGAGAUUAGCUAGUUGGUGGGGUAAAGGCCUACCAAGGCGACGAUCUCUAGCUGGUCUGAGAGGAUGAUCAGCCACACUGGAACUGAGACACGGUCCAGACUCCUACGGGAGGCAGCAGUGGGGAAUAUUGGACAAUGGGCGCAAGCCUGAUCCAGCCAUGCCGCGUGUGUGAAGAAGGCCUUCGGGUUGUAAAGCACUUUCAGUAGGGAGAAAGGGUUUAAGGUUAAUAGCCUUGAACAUUGAUGUUACCUACAGAAGCAGCACCGCUAACU
rnacentral:rRNA from 1 species